GAUGAACGCUGGCGGCGUGCCUAAUACAUGCCAGUCGAGCGAACAGAUGAGGAGCUUGCUCCUCUGACGUUAGCGGCGGACGGGUGAGUAACACGUGGAUAACCUACCUAUAAGACUGGGAUAACUUCGGGAAACCGGAGCUAAUACCGGAUAAUAUAUUGAACCGCAUGGUUCAAUAGUGAAAGACGGUUUUGCUGUCACUUAUAGAUGGAUCCGCGCCGCAUUAGCUAGUUGGUAAGGUAACGGCUUACCAAGGCAACGAUGCGUAGCCGACCUGAGAGGGUGAUCGGCCACACUGGAACUGAGACACGGUCCAGACUCCUACGGGAGGCAGCAGUAGGGAAUCUUCCGCAAUGGGCGAAAGCUUGACGGAGCAACGCCGCGUGAGUGAUGAAGGUCUUCGGAUCGUAAAACUCUGUUAUUAGGGAAGAACAAAUGUGUAAGUAACUAUGCACGUCUUGGCGGUACCUAAUCAGAAAGCCACGGCUAACUACGUG
rnacentral:rRNA from 1 species